rnacentral:lncRNA from 1 species
CUUGCAUAUUAAUUGAUUGCUGUAGAAGAACAUGCAGUAUUUUGAACGUGUGAGGAAACAUUUUAGGGCUUGAAGUGUACAUUUUGUCCCACAGAAAAGUGGAGGAUCUGCAGUUCCGUGUAGAGGAAGCUUGCAUUACCAAAGGUGACCUAGAGGUGGCCACGGUGUCCGAGCGCUCCAGAAUCAUGGAGCUGGAAAAGGAAGUGUCCGACCUGCAUCUUCAGCUGAGAACUCUCCGGGCCGAGACCGCGGGAUCAGCCUCACCUCCAUUACAAGACAAAAAGAUCAAGGAGUUGAACUUUGAGUUAGAGGAUAGACAGAAGGAAGUUCUCCUAUUCCAGCAGAAACUUGCCUCCUCUGAACAGGAUAGAACAUGCCUCCAGCAGCAGCUGCAAGAUCUGAAACAGAAACUCGACACAGCAGCAGAGGACAAUAAUAAAGCAACACUAGCCAUGCAAGAAAUAGAAAGGAACAUGAGAAUGCAGAAAGAGAAGCUGGACCAGGUGUCCAGGGAGAAGGAAGAGCUGCAGAGGGAUGUGGCCCUCCGGCAGCACCAGGAACAGGCGAAGGAUGAAGAGAGAGAUCUUCAGAUAAAGGAGCUGAAGGAGAAGUUGGGCCGAACAGAAGGAGAGUUGAACAGAAUCCCAGAGAGGAGUGUUGAGCUGGAACGGCAGGUGGUGGAACUGAAAGCCUACAAAGACCAAACCCAGAGUUUACAGUCUGAUGAAAAGCUGGAGCAGAUGACGAAGAGGAAUAAGGAAUUGCAGGAGGAGGUAAAUAUGCUUUACUCUUCAUAUCAUAAAGAUAAACAGUGACUCUUGGUUACUUUCAAGU